AAAUCCAUCUUUGAUAAUGCUAUAUCCAAUUUUUGUAUGUGUAGUUAGGAUUAUGUUCCCAUGUGAUUAGAGAAAUUAAACUUUGAUACUUUAACAGACCCUUUUAUCUUUAAUGGAAGGAAUAAGAUGCCAUAUGAAUAGCUUCUUGUAUUGAUCAAUGUAGCUAUUUAACAUAAUAUAGUUGGUUUCUUCAGAAGAUUUCCCUCUGAAAGCAUGUGUGAGUCUUUCUGGAAGGAGGGAUGAUUGUGAUGGAUUUGAGAAGCCUGCUUAAUUGUUUUUACUUGUUUGCUCCGGGGAGUGUAUCUUCAUCUAAACCUGGGUAGUGGUCAAAGAAAACUUGGAUUACUAGCACGCUGUAUGAGGGAUUUUAAUCAAUA